rnacentral:rRNA from 1 species
UAUUGGACAAUGGGGGGAACCCUGAUCCAGCGACGCCGCGUGAGUGAAGAAGUAUCUCGGUAUGUAAAGCUCUAUCAGCAGGGAAGAAGAAAUGACGGUACCUGAGUAAGAAGCCUCGGCUAACCCCGUGCCAGAACCCGCGGUAAUACGUAGGGGGCAAGCGUUAUCCGGAAUUACUGGGUGUAAAGGGAGCGUAGACGGUGAUGUAAGUCUGGGGUGGAAGGCGGGGGCCCAACCCCCGGACUGCUCUGGAAACUAUGUGACUGGAGUGCAGGAGAGGUAAGCGGAAUUCCUAGUGUAGCGGUGAAAUGCGUAGAUAUUAGGAGGAACACCAGUGGCGAAGGCGGCUCACUGGACUGUAACUGACGUUGAGGCUCGAAAGCGUGGGGAGCAAACAGG